UACGUAGGGUGCAAGCGUUAAUCGGAAUUACUGGGCGUAAAGCGUGCGCAGGCGGUUUUGUAAGUCUGACGUGAAAUCCCCCGGGCUCAACCUGGGAAUUGCGUUGGAGACUGCAAGGCUGGAGUCUGGCAGAGGGGGGUAGAAUUCCACGUGUAGCAGUGAAAUGCGUAGAGAUGUGGAGGAACACCGAUGGCGAAGGCAGCCCCCCUGGGUUAACACUGACGCUCAGGCACGAAAGCGUGGG
rnacentral:rRNA from 1 species